UACGUAGGGUGCAAGCGUUGUCCGGAAUUACUGGGCGUAAAGUGUGCGCAGGUGGCCGCGCAAGUCGAGUGUGAAAGCCCCCGGGCUCAACCUGGGAACAGCGCUUGAGACUGGCACGCUCGAGUUCGGGAGAGGAUGGUGGAAUUCCCAGUGUAGAGGUGAAAUUCGUAGAUAUUGGGAAGAACACCGAUGGCGAAGGCAGCCAUCUGGACCGACACUGACGCUGAGGCGCGAAAGCGUGGGGAGCAAACAGG
rnacentral:rRNA from 1 species